UCUAAAACCUCUUCAGCCAGUCAGGAAUAAGACAUGUCCUCUUGGUCCUUUCCCAGCUUCACCAUCAUCCCCCGCCCCCUUCCCUUAACCACUUCACGCCCCGGAGACUUCUCUUCACCUCUGUUUUGCUCAAUCUGCCAGAAGAAAUUCGAUUUGGUGAUUACUUGCCGGUUCUUAGCGUCUGCCAAUGUUCUCCAUUCUUGGACUCCAAAUGAAAAGAAGAUUACAAUGGCUAAAUUUCUCAAAAAGCCCUUAGGAAGCAAGGAUUCCUGGACCAGACAACACCCUUGGAGUUUGAAGUUCCAGGAGAGAAGGUACCUACUAAAUGCUGGAAGAAACAGAGUGGGAAGGACCUUAUCAGACAUUACAGAUGACUGAAACUGCAGUUUGGAGGCUGAGAACACCAGGGUUAAAGGAAUUGUGGAGGACCUGAGGAGAACUUUUAAGAAUAAUUUAUAACCUCUAAAAUUGACUUUGCAUUGGGGCAGUCAGAAAUGCUUUGGUGGGAGGGGAGAUUAAUUGUGCUUAGAAAAACUUUAACAAUAUUGGUUUUGUACCUGUUACAUUUCCAGAAAAGUUUAUAGAGACUCCUUGAUUGGAGGAAGUUGAAUUAAUUUUUUUUAAGAUGAAGAAAUUAUUAAUAUUAAUUCUGAUAAGGUUGUUCAGUGUGAAAUUAGGACAGUAUAUUCUAUAUUCUACAUGGGUUUUUAAUUGGUUGUAUUGAAUCAUUUUAAAGUUAUUCCCAUUGUUUAGGGAGAUUCUGAGAACACUGUUUUACGUCUUAGUCCCUUUGAACAUAAUUAAUACCUGAACAUGUUUUGAUAGUUUGGUUAUUGAGCAUCUAAAAGUGUAAUUAUGAAUUUAAAACCCAUCUACUGAGAUAUGAAUAUGUGGUGAACUUUCUAGAAUGAAUUUCUUAACUAUUAUCAAUGUAAUAUUAUAGUCAAUACUUAUUUAGGCUAUGUGAGCUAAAUUUACCUGACACUUUGAUUAAUGAGACUUGCUAUUUGAGAUAAAAUCUCUUGAGACUGUAGCUGAUAUUAUUUGGAGUUUUGAAUUCAGGUACAAUUGUCUAAUGGAUCAUAAAGCCAGUAAUCUAUCAUCUGAAAGGAAUAUGUCACAAGUUACUCAGAGCAAUGUGAUCCUAAAUUGUUACAGAUGGAGAAUAAUAUCUGGGCAAGAGUUGAGAGGACAACUUUGACCUCCUCUUAAGAUGGGAUCCUUCUGACUUAGUUUUUCAAUGAUGUUCUUUGAAUAAGAAUCCACCUGAUUAUUCUUGAGUCUGGUCACAAGGUGUAAUUGUUAUUGCAUAUAAUUAGCUAAGAAUGUUUUACUCUGUCAUGUAUGUACUCUCAGGCAGAGGCCUGAAGGACCAGUUUUGAUGCUAUUCGAAUUAUGUCCUUGCAUUUUCUUCUUAUAGCAAAUUUCUAUAAGCAGGGCAAAUGUUCAGUACAAUUCAAAUUUAAGAUCUUGCAUUUCUUAUCUGAAAAUAUGUGAUCAUUCUAUCCUAAAUAAGUAGGUGAGUAUUUGGCCUAGACAUCUAUCUGUUACUAGAUGCAUGUUUCUUUUAGCAUUUCUAUUGUUGCUGACUUUCCUAAUAGGCAACUCUAUUUUUGAAGAGUUAUCUACUCUACUUACUGGAGCCACAAAUGGUUGGGGUAAUAGAUGACCCCAGAUGGGAGUUAGGGGUACAAAAUUUCAGUUUGUUUGCUGAAUAAGUUCAUGAGAUUCCAGGCCAAUGGUUGAAAUAAUUACUAACCAAUUCACAAAGGCACUGGAUUUUUUUAGUAGACCAAGCCACUCAGACUGAAGAAUCAGUCCUCCAUAGUAGAAUGGUAUUAAACUAUUUGUUGGUUGAAGAAGGUAGAGUUUAUGGGAAAUUAAAUUUUUGCUGUGUGAAAAUUAAUAAUGGACAGGUAGUGAAAGAAAUUUCCAUAGACAUCAGAAAAUUGGUUCAAGUCCCAUUCCAGACCAAGUCUGGAAUCUAGGAAUCCAGAGAAUCUAGGAAAUCUUAACUUUUUAACUUAUGGUAAUAAAACAGUCCAGGAAGGUUAAAUUCCCAUUGAAAUUGUCUCAAAGGUUGUUGUGUCUGUCUUUAAAGAUGCUAACUAGAUUGGAGACAGGAUGGAGGAUUAACAAUGGACUACAGACAUUACUGGUCAGAUGAUAAAGACUGAACAAUCUGGAGAGGGAAGUCCAGUUAGAUAAAGAUGGU